GUGCUCAUUUCAGCAGCACAUAUACCAAAAAUUGACAUGAUAUAGGCUAGUAUAGCCCCUAACCAAAGAUGACAUGCAAGUUUUUGAAACAUUUCAUAUUAAG
ensembl:snRNA U6 U6 spliceosomal RNA